UGUUAGAGAUGAAGCAUGCUCUCUAAUGCCUUUAGAAGUGUCUCAUUUUUGCAUACUAAUGCAAAACCCAACACCUCUCUCAACCCCAAAUCUCAGUCACAGAGACUCUAAGCUGACUACAAGGAAAGAGAAAUGAAAAUUUACUUGGGUUGCCUAUGACCUGGGGUCGGGAGAACUGACAGAGCCUCUGCUGACUGAUGGCAUUUCUCUGCUGGGUUUGGCUCUGUGAUAAAGGUGAUAGGGAGUGGAAAACGUGUUGGUACAUAGGAGCCUGAGUACCACUGAGAUGAGAGCAAUGUAAAUAUAUAAACAGGAAUGCUAAGUUUUUCUAUAGAGAAAAAUCUUUCUAUACAUAUGAACCACUCAUGGGAA